rnacentral:lncRNA from 1 species
ACUGGCAUCAGUGGAACCUGGGACUCUCAGAUUUAUGUAGGUUCUGAGAGACUUCUGGACCCAGCCUAUGUGUUCUGAGUGAAGACUGCUGUCCUUUUGACUGGUAUUCUUCCUUAGAGUGAUCUGAAGAAUAUAACUUACCUGUAACAUUGGCCGUGGAUCAAGAUUCAACAGAGUAAAAUGGACAUUCUGGACUCACUUUUCAGUCCGUUGUGCACUGUUGUCUCUGCAAUGGACAAAGGAACAGGCACUCCACACCCAAUGGCAAGAAUACUAAGGACAUCAUCUUGA